rnacentral:rRNA from 1 species
CCUACGGGUGGCUGCAGUGAGGAAUAUUGGUCAAUGGCCGAGAGUCUGAACCAGCCAAGUCGCGUGAAGGAUGACUGCCCUAUGGGUUGUAAACUUCUUUUAUCUGGGAAUAAAACGUUCCACGUGUGGGGUUUUGUAUGUACCAUAUGAAUAAGGAUCGGCUAACUCCGUGCCAGCAGCCGCGGUAAUACGGAGGAUCCGAGCGUUAUCCGGAUUUAUUGGGUUUAAAGGGAGCGGAGGCGGAUUGUUAAGUCAGUUGUUAAAGUUGGCGGCUCAACCGUAAAAUCGCAGUUGAAACUGGCAGUCUUGAGUACACGAGAAGUGCGCGGAAUGCGUGGUGUAGCGGUGAAAUGCAUAGAUAUCACGAAGAACUCCGAUUGCGAAGGCAGUUCACUGGACUGCAACUGACACUGAUGCUCGAAAGUGUGGGUAUCAAACAGGAUUAGAUACCCGGGUAGUC